rnacentral:lncRNA from 1 species
ACAACUUCUCACUUAAUCACUACCCAAUGACACUUCUACCUAGGAACUCCUAGAUAUGAGACCCCGUCCCAAUUCCCACCUUAACAACACAGACAGCGUUGUUAUUCAAUUCAACAAUCACAACAGGUGGAGACACACUCCUAAGAAACUUGGAUUCACUCUUGCUUAAAAGCUUGCGAGUAAACCACACAACACAAUAGAACAAUCUCCGUACUUCAAAGCUAAGGAGAAGUUCACACUUACAACUCAAUAACACUCAG